rnacentral:rRNA from 1 species
CUGGAAUGGUUCCUGACUAAAAUCUAUAUGGCCUCUGGAUUGGACUGCGGCCGAUCAGGCUGUUGGUGAGGUAAUGGCCCACCAAACCUGUAACCGGUACGGGCUCUGAGAGGAGGAGCCCGGAGAUGGGCACUGAGACAAGGGCCCAGGCCCUAUGGGGCGCAGCAGGCGCGAAACCUCUGCAAUAGGCGAAAGCCUGACAGGGUUACUCUGAGUGACUUUUGCUAAGAAAGUCUUUUGGCACCUCUAAAAAGGGUGCAGAAUAAGGGGUGGGCAAGUCUGGUGUCAGCCGCCGCGGUAAUACCAGCACCCCGAGUGGUCGGGACGAUUAUUGGGCCUAAAGCAUCCGUAGCCGGUUCUGCAAGUCCCCCGUUAAAUCCAGCUGCUCAACAGAUGGGCCGCGGAGGAUACUACAGAGCUAGGAGGCAGGAGAGGCAAGCGGUACUCAAUGGGUAGGGGUAAAAUCCGUUGAUCCAUUGAAGACCACCAGUGGCGAAGGCGGCUUGCCAGAAUGCGCUCGACGGUGAGGGAUGAAAGCUGGGGGAGUAAACCGGAUUAGAUACCCGGGUAGUCCCAGCCGUAAACGAUGCAGACUCGGUGAUGGGUUGGCUUCGCGCUAACCCAGUGCCGCAGGGAAGCCGUUAAGUCUGCCGCCUGGGUAGUACGGUCGCAAGACUGAAACUUAAAGGAAUUGGCGGGGGAGCACCACAAGGGGUGAAGCCUGCGGUUCAAUUGGACUCAACGCCGGU